GGGAACGUACCCUUCGGUUCGGAAUAACUCAGGGAAACUUGAGCUAAUACCGGAUACGCCCUUUUGGGGAAAGGUUUACUGCCGAAGGAUCGGCCCGCGUCUGAUUAGCUUGUUGGUGGGGUAACGGCCUACCAAGGCGACGAUCAGUAGCUGGUCUGAGAGGAUGAUCAGCCACACUGGGACUGAGACACGGCCCAGACUCCUACGGGAGGCAGCAGUGGGGAAUAUUGGACAAUGGGCGCAAGCCUGAUCCAGCCAUGCCGCGUGAGUGAUGAAGGCCUUAGGGUUGUAAAGCUCUUUUGUCCGGGACGAUAAUGACGGUACCGGAAGAAUAAGCCCCGGCUAACUUCGUGCCAGCAGCCGCGGUAAUACGAAGGGGGCUAGCGUUGCUCGGAAUCACUGGGCGUAAAGGGCGCGUAGGCGGCCGAUUAAGUCGGGGGUGGAAGCCUGUGGCUCAACCACAGAAUUGCCUUCGAUACUGGUUGGCUUGAGACCGGAAGAGGACAGCGGAACUGCGAGU
rnacentral:rRNA from 1 species